CACAAGAAUUGAACUCACAAUUAACCGAGCCUGAGAAAGCUGGACUAAAAGAAUCAGUUCAUGGUUUGCUCAAAUGGGCGUGGCGAUAUAACAAAAAUCUUGAAGAGCAGGCUGCCCAACUUCACAUGUUGACUGGCUGGUCACAGAUUGUUGAAGUUGCUGUAUCAAGAAGGAUGUCAUUAUUCGAGGACUGUUCUUAGCUAUUGUUUGAACUGCUUGAUGCUUCGUUGAAUGCCACAACAUCUCCAGAUUGUUCAGUGAAAAUGGCAUAUGUUUUAACUAAUGUA